AUGAUUGUGCCACUGCAAACUCUAUCCCUAAAAAACAAAAACACAGUUUUAAAAUGGUGCAGUCCCGGAAACCACAAGGAGGAGGUUCAGUAUUCUCUCCUGAGCGUGAAGUUGGCUCUUGGUGUUGCUUCACUGCAACUGCUAUUUGCCAAUGAUGACUGUUCUUCUCCUCCUCUGAGAGAGUAAGAGGGAGAGGAGGCAGUCUGAGUGGU
ensembl:snoRNA U3 Small nucleolar RNA U3